GGGGGCGAAGGGCUUCGACCGGGCAGGUUGAGGUCUGAGUGGCGUGUCGAGGUUGUCAGGCGGCCUCGUAAAACACCUGGCAAAACACUUACGUGCCAACAAUGGCUACGCUCUCGCUGCCUAACAACUAGACAGCGCGUCGGCCGGCAACGCCUGCUAGCCGAACCGACGAUGACAGCAGGCUGGCCUGUGUGCUCCCGCCUGGCGGCGCACGGGUGAGAAACAGCCGGGCUGGGUAAGCGGAUGACCUGUCGAUCGGUCUGCCGCGAGCCGAGAACAAAUCGAUCGGCUACACACGUAGAGGCUCAGGCUGAAAUGCUUCGGGACGGGGGUUCGAUUCCCCCCGCCUCCAUCC
rnacentral:tmRNA from 1 species